rnacentral:lncRNA from 1 species
GCACAGCCCAAACACACAUGUCCCUUCCCGAUCCCCCGCCAGACGGACAGACAAACACGCAUGCAAACCGCCCCCACCCGUCUCCACGCGCCCGGGUCCAGCCGGCAGCGGCCAGAGCCGCUCUGCAGCCGGUGCACCCGCAAGGCGAGGGCGCCUCCGCCUGAACCUUCCAUCGAGACAGUCCCCUCCUUCCUCGCUUCCUUCCUUCGCUCCUUCCUUCCUUCCUUCCUUGCCCGGGAGGUAAAGGGAGUCACUGAAAUGCCCAGAGCCAGCGCCUUCGCUGCGCUCGCUCGGCCGCAGGCCGGCGGCCCGGGCCUCGCGCCGCCAGCCCGCCCGGCCGCCUGCGCCGCGCGCCGCGGCCCCCUCCCCCGCUACCUGACAACGGGCCGCCGCCGGCCGCCGCAGCCGCAGCGGUGGCCGGGCCGUGCGCGCCGGUGCACGUCGCUCAUUAGUAAGCAGGCACAUUCCUGCCUCCAGCGCUCCCGCGCGGCCCCCUCCCCCCAGGACAUUACGCAAAGCAGCCUCCCCUCAUCUGCAUAGAUCCGCGGCCAGGGUAUUCCCCGCAUUUCCCCACGCGCCCGACACCCCUCCCGCGGUCUCCCCCAUCCCCGCCCCCUCCGACCCUCACCCUCGGGCCACCGGGAAGGGGCUGGGGGCACACGCCGGGGAGCGGGGGACGGAGUUCGGCGGCGGCGAUUCCAAUAUAAAGUGAAACAAGCUCCCAGCGCCGAAGGAGGCAGGAAAAACCCAGCGUCCAGGCCACUUACCGAGCCGAGGAGGGACCUAGAUUCCCGCCGCUCCGCUCUCGCGGUGGCCGGUCCGCCCUCCGCGCACCCCGAGGCUGCACCCAGCACCCCAGACGCGAGACGUGGAGGAACGCUGUGAACGAGCCGGGAGACCCUCCAAGUUGCUCUGGGCUCCGUGGAGCGUCAAGGUCCAAGACACAACUUGGCAAAGACUUGUGCCACAGUCACCGAAGAUGUUUGUGCGGAGACCCUCCUGCGGGGAACGACGGCGCUCGGCGGCGCCCCGCUCUCCUCCUCUCCACCCCCUCACCUCCAGCCCGCCUCCCGCCGGCCGCCCGCCUCCGGGCCGCGAGCCCCUCGGGCGGCUGUCAGCUCCCGGCCGCCGCCGGGUGACAGGGGCGGGAGGAGGGCGCGACGCGGCGGCCCGAGCCCCAGCGGGCGAGGGGGAUCCUCGCAGCCGCGGCGGCCGCUCACCUGGAAAGUCACCGCUGAGGAGGAGGAGAAGGAGGACGGGGAGGAGGAGGGAGAGGAGGAGGGGGAGGAAACCCCCCUGGUGCCCUUGUUCUCGCUGCCGCGGCGGCCGCUCCUCGCCAAGGCUGAGCGUGUCUGGUGGGGGGUGUCUGGUAGCAUUUCCUUAAGGACAGAGGGAGGGCGGGCGCGGAGGGAGGGAAAAGAUCCCGACCGCCAGCCCAGGCUCCUCUUGCCUUUAUUUAUUUUUCUGACACUGUACGGAGAUGGGCCCGGGGCAGGGGCCGCCGGGCUCAGGCGGGAGCCGCGAGGCCCGGGCCGCAGCUGUCUGCGUGCGGGAGCCGCAGCGGCCGCCUCCCCUCCCGGGCUGUGGACGCACCGGGUUAUUCCUGGCAGCGCCUCCCCGAACAGAAGUUACUAGGAGGAGUGCGCGGCGAGGGCGGACGGGGGGAGAGGCGGAGGGAGGGAGGGAGGAAGAGGGAGAGACUCAGCCAACGACGUCAUCGGAUCCCCCAGCGCGUCCCAGGGAGGGAGGCUGAACCAGAAAAACCAGUCUGGAGCCAGUGAGCGAGAGAGGGAUGUGCGGCGCGCGGGGCGACGGGGGAGGGAGGCGGUCGGGAGGGCAGGGCCGGGCCCCACGGCUGCCGCUGCGGGCGGGGAGAUCGCGGCCGCGCACUCGCUCGGUCGGAGCGGGGAACUCCCCGGAGAGCUGGUCUCUACUUGUCAUGCAAAAAAACUUGGGCAUCUCUAGGAGCCUGAGAAUUUCCUUUAAGGAUGUGGAAACGUCCUCCGUCCCCACCCCUUCCCCAUUUCCCAGAGAAUCGUUGUCUGCCUUCCUGACGAACGGAAUUGUAUAAUUAGUAGUGCCCUUAGAUUUGGAACCAGUACUCCGGAUCCCUGGCCUCUCCUCGCCCCCUGCCUCUACUCACAAUUAUGUUAUCGGUCAAGAAAAGCAAAAUCAGACUGUGGCUCCCGGCUGGGUUUCUGGAGCUUUGUAGGGUUUUACUAGCACUUUCCGUGCCCCUGCGGGCGCGCGAACUAUUCACGUGCUCGAAACGCCCGGAUUACCUUCCCUGAGGUCACUCACCAGGGUGCCCCCGGCACCCCCAGUUCGGGGACCGCGGCCCGCCCUCGCCAGGGGAUUCAAAUAGGUGUGGGCAGCGGCGCGAAGAGCAGCUGCCGGUUUCCUGGUGGGCCGCGCUGGAACCUCGGGGCGAGCUGCCACCUUCAGCCUGUGCGCUUCCCUCUCCACGGAAGGGACCGGAGUUGAAAUCACAACCAACCCUGGGAGAGCGGGGCCGGGAGGCGGGGGAAUCCCAGGCGAGUGGGAGCCGAAGCUCUGGGCUUCCUCCCCGGCCGGGCGACACCCGGGGGACACCGGGGCUCUCUCGGGCCGUUACCCUGCCUAUGUGGACUGGUGUGCACCCUCGGGGGAGGUUCCUAGGGUGCCACGGUGCCCGAGCGCGACGAGUGACUGCUGGGGAGGGGGGCCGGGUCCCGGAGCGCCUCCUCCGGGUGGUCUCCCCCCCAGCGGGGACCGCGCGCAGCACCUCGCGGGCGCCCCAGCCCCCGCACCCUGCGGAGCAGAGCCGAGCGCCCAGGACGCCGCGGGCCCCAGCGGUCCUCCCCACCCCCUGGCCGCGCCGCCGCCCUGCCCGGGGCGGAGUAAACAAGAGACGCGCAAGAUUUGACCUGGCGCGACCCGGCUUUCUGGCCGGGGUUCCCCCUGAGCAGGUGACUCCGUGGGAGGGGUGGAAAUGAGUCUCUGGAAUUCCGGGCCAAAGACAAUAACUGUGGUUCUGCUUUUAAAGCAGGUAUUUCACCAGCAACUGCGGAAUGUUUUGUGUCUCCAGUUUCAAAUUUCGCGGAAAGGGACCAAAUGUGAGGACAUAUAAAAUAUCCCCUUCUCUUUUCAUUAAAAAUGAGUGCAUUACAAAGGAAGGGCAGCCCCUUAAUGCCUGCGAGAAUAGCGCUGCUGGUUUCGUUUUUGUUUUGUUUUGUUUUGUUUUUCAUUCUGACCCACAAUCAGUGUAUUUUUGAGGUCCCUAUGCAAUGGCGACGGUGCCGUGAAGGGCAACUCAGCAAAAUAAAGCGGUGAUACAUUUUUUAACCGAUUUUUUUCUCAGAGGAGAAAAAUCUGAACAAUUUGGCCUAAGUUUCACUUUGUCCUUCUCUUAGGUUGAUCUCAUUUAAAUUCAGGGCCUACUUCCACUUAAGCAACUUCUUCUUUCAUUGUAUAGGUUCUUUAAUAUCCAACCUUUUUAAACUUAACUUGAAGCCUUUAAUUUAAAAAACUGUCCCAAUCAUCAUUUUCUUUUCAAUGUAUGCAGUUGCAUUUUAAACAUCCAUUUAACACACAAAAUGUGAUUUUUGAAAUUUUUUUCACUUUCAAACCCACCUGCUACAUACUCCCAGAGAGCGUUUUAUUUAAUUGCUUAAUAGAGAAGAUUAAGCAGUUUCUUUAAGAAUCCAAUUUCCCUUCAACAAGCACAACAGCAGCUGCCCAAGCUCCCAGAAACUAAGCAAAGGCAAGUAGCAGGCAGCGUUUUGCUUCACUAGAAUGAAUGUUAGUUGAAACCUUAAAUACCUCUUUAAAAGACUAGAUUAAAGAGAAUAAUGGGAAUAUUAAGAUACUCCGGUAGUUAGUUAAAAUAUUUUUUAAGGAAAACCAGGCAGAUAUACAUCUAUUUUGAUGAUUUGAUCCCACCUUCAAAGAGGAUCCCUGAAAAGAGUUUUAGUCACAAUUUGACAAAUUUUAAAUAAUUACUUUGUUUCAGAGUCAUGAGGAUGGAAAGAAGAUAGCCUGCGUUGAGUUGAAGUAAAGUAAAAAUAUUAUGAAUAUGUGUAACUAGGUGACAUCCUCUCUGCUGGGAAGAAUCCUUUUUUUUUUUUUUUUUUUUUUUCUGGUGACAGGUUCUUGCUCCAUCACCCAGGCUGGAGUGCAGUGGCAUGAUCUUGGCUCACUGCAGCCUCUCCCUUUCAGGCUCAAGCAAUCCUCCCACCUCAGCCUCCCGAGUGGAGGGGGAGCCACUGCAGAUCUGGAGCAAAUCAGCACCAGCCACUCCAGAGCCUGACCUACAUAGGACUCAGAAAGCAUUGUCUAUUGUGAUUGAUUAUUCCUGUGUUCAGUCCCAAUGGCCUAUUGAUUGGGGGUUUCUCUCCAAAAGGCUGCAUGGCUUUUCUUCUCUAAGUGAAUCUCCUUUAUAACCCAUAUUUUAUGUCUAUAUACCAAACAUGCUAUCCAUAUUUAGUCAAUGUCCAGUUGCUUGCAUGUAAGGGCAAUAGAGUAAUCAGAAAACUCUUCCCAGAAAGCCCCCGAAGACAAAACUAGUACUGGUAGAAAACUGGGCAUGCAGCUCUAAGAAACUCUAUGGGAAGUGAGGCUGGGUGGGGCACAGCUGCCCCAGCCUGGCACCCAUAUGGAGCAUCAGCAAGGAAGUAGGAACUUUCUUUUCAUCAUGCAUCCUUCUUAUCACUUCUCAGUUUCAAAGGGAAAGAAAAUUUGGUAAUCUGCAUUUUGAGACAUUAAGAAAAUAAAAUAAUUAAUGGCUUCAUGGUUAUAUGGCAUUUUUCAGAGUAUUGUCAGAAAAUCAUUUCGAACUGAAAUUUUCAUUCAAAAAUAUUUAUUGAAUGCCGGCUAUGUGCUGAAGAUUCUUAAGAUACAUCAGUGAACAAAUCAAAGUUCCCUGCUUUCUUGGAGCUUGCAUUCCAGCGGGAGGAGAGGAUUUGGAGGAAGAAUGGGAUAGACAAUAAAUGUAAAAUGGAUUUCAUUGAUUCACAUAACCAUCACUCAAGGACUAACUUUCAACAUAGUGAGAUCCUGAGGCUCAAAUAUUAUUACCCGGGUUCCAUGAACUGCUUCCUCUGACAUGAGAUCUAACAAGGCUAAAGACUAAAAUGCAGCUGUUUACAGCGUAAGUAGGAGGCCGUCCCGUGCAGUGCAAAAUCAACAGAGAGGAGACAGUCCUAUGCCUUCGAGAGACAGUCUGCUGAUACUGUCAUGAUGUCUAGUGACAGGCCAGAGAUCAAAACCCAACACCCUCAUUUACCUGACAGUGAUUUGGCCAAUCCCUUAACAUCUCUAAGAGCUUCAUUUUUCUACAAAAUUGAGACAAUAGUAUUUGUUUCAUAGUGUUACUGUCAGGGUUAAAUGUUAUACAUUAAGCAUUUAAUAUAUGCUGCUUGUUUAUCUAAAUAUUCAUGGUCAGGCACUAACUUCUUAUGUGACUCUGAGCAAUGCAUUCAUCUCUGUACCUGUUUCCUCAUCCAUAAAUUGGGAGUUGAACAAGGUGAGCCCUAAGUUUCGUUCCAACUUCAAUAUUCUAUAAUUCUUGCAACUUAUAUGGCCUCAGUUUUCUUAUCUUUAUAAUGGGCAUAAGAGUACCUACCUCACAGAAUUUUUGAGAGGAUAAAAUGAAUUAAGACAGGUAGAAAAUUCUUAGAACAGUGCCUGCCACAUUGGAAGUGCUUAAUAUGUAUUAGCUGUGAUGAUGCUGCUAAUGAUGAAGAUGAUAAUGACCCUAUUUGCAGAUAGUAUGGCAGCCAUAAAACAUUCAGUAUCAGAUUGAUUACAUUCUCUUAUUUUCUGAGUCAAUGCCAGAGCUACCAAGAUUUUAUUCUUUAAAGGUUCUUCAAGACUAAAUUCUUUUUACAUGAUAUGAUUAUUACACAUUGUAUGUCCGUAUCAGACCAGCCUGGCCAACAAGGUGAAACCCCAUCUCUAAAAAUACAAAAAUUAGCAGGGCAUGGUGGCACGCACCUGUAGUCCCAGCUACUCGGGAGGCUGAGGCAGGAGAAUCACUUGAACCCGGGAGGCAGAGAUUGCAGUGAGCUGAGAUCGUGCCACUGCACUCCAGCCUGGCAGAGUGAGACUCCAUCUUAAAAAAUAAAUAAAUAAAUAAAUAAAUAAAUCUCAUGUACUCCAUAGAUAUGGGGUACCUACUAUGUACUCACAAAAAUUAAUUUUUUUUUAGAAAAGCCUAAGCUCAUUUGCUUCUUAGUAAGAAUUAUGUUAAGAUUUCCCAGUGUAGAUACCCUAGGCUGCUAAUUUUUUUUCUUUUGUUAUCAGUAUCUUAAGAAAUUAAUUGGCCCGGGAGUGGUGGCUCAUGCCUGUAAUCCCUGCAGUUUGGAAGGCCAAGAUGGGAGGAUUGUUUGAGGCCAAGAGUUCAAAACCAGCCUGGGCAACAUAGUGAGAUACUAUCUGUAUAUAAAAUAAAAAAAUUAGUGAGGCAUGGUGUCAUAAGCCUGUGGUCCCAGCUACUUGGGAGGCUGAGGUGAGAGGAUUGCUUGAGCCCAGGAGGUCAAGGCUGCAGUGAGCUGUGAUGGUGACACUGCACUCCAGCCUGGGCUAUAGAGCAAGACCCUGUCACCCUCCUCAAAAAAAAAAAAAAAAAGCAAUUAAUUGAUUUAUUUAUGGCCAUUCUCUCUUUUUGUGAGCUGGAUAUGUGUUCACUUUCAUUCUAAAAACGUACAGCCCCCAAAGCCCACACAUGUUGUCAAAGCUCACUACAUUUACCUAGAGAGUUUCCUGUAGUCUCCUCUUUCAAGUAUUUUAAAUAAUGCGUAAUUUCUUCAUGUAACUGAAACAUGUUAAUGUUGAGUUGGCACAGGAAGAAAAGUUUUGAUUUACUCAGAACUGGGAUUUGUGUGGGUCAUUUCCUAGUCCUCCUAAGUAUUUAACAAAUGUAAAAUGUAACACACAAUUAAAUAAGCUACCCAAGCCAAAUGAACUGGUGAGUGCAUUAUAAAUAGCAACCAAAAUUAUUCUUCAGUUGUUAACUGGUAUGUCCUGAUUUAAUAAUGAAUUACAUCAUUUGACAAAUGAGAUAAGACUUCCACCUUUAGCUUUCUGAUCCAAACUUCUAAUAGUUGAAAUGUAUUAUUACCAUCUGGUGUCUGGCCUCUGAAAUGCCCUGGCGAUAUCUGCCUCAUUUCAAGUAGUUGGGGCUUGCAUAUGCCAGCAAAGCACUCUCCGAAGUGUCUUGAUUGGCAGGCCCAGAGAGAAGGCUAAGAACCGAAUGAACCAUGGAGAUAUAGCUCCAGCUCUGUAGAAGUUUCCUCUGGUUCAAGGCAGACUCAUUUUCUUAGUUUGUGCAGCAAAAAAAUUGUCAUGAUCGAAGUUGUUUUUAUUUUGGAUCUCAAUCCUGAAGGAUGCAAUUCCUAUACUUACCAAGAAUGUUUCCAUCUGUUUUAAAUUAUUUCACUCCUUUUACAAACUGGCAAUAAUUUUAACACCUUUUAUUUUCAGUGAAAAUAAUUCGAGAAUGAAGCUGAGAAUGAUACAUAAGCCUAGAGUUUUAACUCAGUGAAGUAAUAUGAUUCUGACAGUUCUUUAUUUUUUCCACAUUGUGUUAGAUUCCUAGUAAAAAGGGAAGAUGAAUCUUAUUGCUUUCAAAAACCUGACAAUAUGGUAUGUAGGACAGAAUGAACAUACAUAGAACAAUAUCCAAUAACACAGAUGAAGGUGUCAAAGCCAUUGCCAGACAGAGUGGUGCAGAUUGUGAGAUCAGUUUUCUUGGUAAGUGUUAUGGACUGAAUGUUGGUAUUCUCUAACAUUCAUAGAUUAUAAUCUAAUCCCCAAUGUGAUGGUAGCACUAUCUGGGGGUGAGACCUUUGGGAAGUAAAGGUCUUUUUCUCUCCACACCUGACCAAAAGUAGGAGCUCAACAAAUGUAUGUGCACUGAAAUGGAAUGGGGGCAAACAGCCUGGUGGUAUAGUACAAAGCAAAAUUUGGUUAUGGUAGGAGCAGUACAGAUACAUCUGGAUCACAAUCUAAAUUCUCUCCAGGGACCAAAUACAUAGAUUUACCCCUUGGGUUAUUGGUCUGGUAGACUCUUAAUUUUUAAUAGGGUUUAUAUAAUCUAGACUUCUUAUAACCUCUGCCCCACUGGAUAUAGGUAUUACUCAGUUGAAGUUAAAAAUUGAAUAUAGGAUUAUAUGCAAUGCUUUAUCUAUAACUUUCUUGUAAGGAUAAACUCAGUACAUCUCUGGUUUUCUAAUAUUUUGGAGGAAAUGUUACAAAUAGGUAAGGAAAGUUUGAGCCUCAUUUACGCAUGAGGGUGGACCCCUCCUGAAUGAGAUUAAUGUCCUUAUAAGAAAAGGCCAGAGAGCUAGCUCACUCUCUUUCAGCAUGUGAGGACACAAGAAGCCCAGAGUCUGCAACCUGAAAGAGGGCCCUCACUAGAACCCAAUCAUGCUGACGCUGUGAUCUUGGACUUUCAGGCUCCAGAACUGUGAGAAAUAAAUUUCUGUUGUUUAUAAGCCAUCCAUUUCAUGACAAUUUGUUAUAGUGGCCUGAACAAAGACAAUAGGUAUAAAAGAGAAUUGAUAAAGAUGAAAUUUAGGAAUACAAUUAGAAGUGAAAUGCAAAUAACAAGAGGGUGACCCCGGAGUAGAAAAGUGUCUGUGUCUGGUAGAUUUGAAUAGUUUACAAAUGCCAAGCCUGUGCAAAAUAGGAGUUACCAAUAUUAAUGGCUGCAUCAUUACAAGGUGUAUCCAAAAGACACUUAAGAUUAAGUCUGUGUUUGUCAGUGGGGAGGUGAGAGUAGGAAAUGUUAAAUAACCUGCCCUUUGUCACUCAGCCAACAAGUAAGAGAGCAGGGAAUCAAGUUCAGAUCUAAGUCCUCUAAAGUUAUUCCCCAAACUCCUCACAGCUUCACUUAAUAACCAUUUCCUGCUUUGGUUGACUUUACAAAGAUGACCAUACAUUUGAGAGCAAAAGGGGAAGCUAUGAAUCAUUACAUCUGGACAAAUGGCAUGAAUCAAGAUCAUCCACUGCCAACUAGAGUGUAUGUUCAUCUUCUGUCUAUAUAUCUUCAUUCCCAGACAUCUACCAGACAUCCAGUGACUUAUCUGAGAAGUACACUUGGAGGUCAGUUUCUUGGAGUAAAUUGAUCAAAGUGUUAAAAUUCUGGAAAGUUAUUGUAUUUUAAAAUAGUUCACACAAAAAAAUAGUACAAUGAAAUGAAUCACUAUUAGUGGAAUUUCAGGCCCUCAGGUACCUGAUAAUAAGAACUCUUUCAAAACAACAUAACUUUCCUGGUACCUGUCAAAUCACAAUUUCUAUAUGAGAUAUGGCCAGCUGGGUAUUCAAGGAUAAUUGGUCAGCUACUGUGAUGAUUAAUAUGGAGUGUCAACUUGUUUGCAUUGAAGGAUGCAAAGUAUUGUUCCUGGGUUUGUCUGUGAGGGUUGUAUUAGUCUGUUUUCAUGACACUGAUAAAGACAUAUCUGAGACUGGGCAAUUUACAAAAGAAAGAGGUUUAUUGGACUUUCAGUUCCACAUGGCUGGGGAGGCCUCACAAUCAUGGUGGAAGGUGAAAAGCACAUCUCACAUGGCGGCAGACAAAAGCAGAGAGCUUGUGCAGGGAAACUCUCAUUUUGAAAACCAUCAUAUCUCAUGACACUUAUUCACUAUCAUGAGAACAUCAUGGGAAAGACCUGCUCCCAUGAUUCAAUUACCUCCCACUGGGUCACUCCUACAACACGUGGGAAUUCAAGAUAACAUUUGGGUGAGGAUACAGCCAAAUCAUAUCAAGGGUGCUGCCAAAGGAGAUUAACAUUUGAGUCAGUAGACUGGAAGAGGCAGACCCACCCUCAAUCUGAGUGGUUACCAUCUAAGCAUCUGCCAAUGCAGCUAGAAUAAAGCAAGCAGAAGAAAGUGGAAUGAGAAGACUUGCUGAGUCUUCUGGUCAUCAUCUUUUCCCCAUGCUGGAUGCUUCUUGCCCUUGAACAUCAGACUCCAAGUUCUUCAGCUUUCAGACUCUUGGACUUAGAGCAGUGGUUUGCUAGGGGCCCUCAGGCCUUCAGCCACAGACUGAAGCCUGCACUGUCGACUUCCCUACUUUUGAGGUUUUGGUACUUGGAUUGGCUUCCUUGCUCCUCAGCUUACAGCUGGCCUAUUAUGGGACUUCACCCUGUGAUCGUGAGUCAAUUAUCCUAAUAAACUCCCCUUCAUAUAUACAUAUAUAUUAUUAGUUCUUACCUCUAGCGAACCCUGACUAAUACAGAUUUCUAGAUGUACAGAUGGAUUGAGAGGCAAACACUCUAAAUUAACAAGGCAGAAAUGAAAGAGCUGUUCUGCCCAAGAUCUUCAGCACUGCUCAGACCUCUAUAAGAAUUUCUUAUCCAGUUCAAAACUUAUCAACUUAAGAAAAAUAUAGAAAAUUUGUAAAGCAUUCAGAAGAAACUAAAGACUAAAGCAAAAUGAUAUGUUCAAAUACUUAACACUGCCAAAAUGUAAUGCAUUUCAAUAAAGUGAUAUAUGUCCUUAACUCACACAAAUUAAUAAAUGUCUAAUAGACAUACAUAUGGGAAGUGAAUAUCAAAUGCCUGUGUACUAUUUGUAUAAAAUCUAAGUUAAAACUCAUUUCCAUCCCAAAGAUGUGUGAUAUGUAAAAUAAUAUUCUACGUAUUUUGUUUAAUUUUGGGGGGUCAUUUAAGAUUUUUUUAUUUGCAGAAAAAAGAUGCUACAAACAAAAUUAAUGGGAAAAAACAAAAAUUAGUACCAAAAGAGGAAACGAGGACAAGGAAAAACACGAGCACAUAGAAAAAUGUAAAAAUACUCAAGCCAGGCUCAGAGAACCAGCAUCCCUGACAGCAAGUGUUGUUAAACAUCCACGUGGGUUGCUAAGGAAGGUUAGGGAAUCUCCCUUUCCCAGAAGUCUUUAAAAAUAGGAUAACAUCUGUUUGGAUGGGAUAAUGGUGGUACUGCUUGACUUGGCAGCUUCUUAAGCAAACCUAUGGUUUGGUAAUUCUACCAUUUCUAUUUCUGAUUUGAAAAGUAACAAAUAACUUCAGUUCACCUAGAAAAUUGGGCCUUAUAAUGACUUGUAAUAUUGUCUUAUAAAACUAUUUUCAUUGUCAUUAAUAGUGCAAAGGUAGAUAAUUGAGGUUUUCAGAGUAUACUUGAAUUUGCAGCCAAGGCUCAAACUUUCCUUAUCUAUUUGUAACAUUUCCUCCAAAAUAUUAGAAAACCAGAGAUGUACUGAGUUUAUCCUUACAAGAAAGUUAUAGAUAAAGCAUUGCACAUAAUCCUAUAUUCAAUUUUUAACUUCAACUGAGUAAUGCCUGUAUUCAGUGGGGCAGAGCUUAUAAGAAGUCUAGAUUAUAUAAACCCUAUUAAAAAUUGGAGUCUGCCAGACCAAUAACCCAAGGGGUAAAACAUAUAUAUUUGGUCCCUGGAGAGAAUUUAGACUGUGAUCCAGAUGUAUCUGUACUCCUCUUACCAUAACCAAAUUUUGCUUUCUACUAUACUACCAGACUGUUUGCCCCCAUUCCUUUUCACUGCACAUAUAUUUGUUGAGCUCCUACUUUUGGUCAGGUGUGGAGAGAAAAAGCCCACAGUCCCUGCCCUUGAGGAACACAUAAUCCAAAAAAAAAUGCAUGGGUGGCUCCAGGUGUUGUAGGGUCUUAGGCAAGUAUAAUUUUGGACAUGCAUUUUAAGAAAAAGAAUACAAAAUUACAAAUGCAGAAUUACUAAUAAAAGUGAAUAUUUAUUGUAUAGAGAAAAUUAAUCACAACAAAUUACAAGUUUUAGCAUUCUCACAAAUGCCAGAAAUACCACAAAAUCUCAGAAAAAAACCUAUAUUUUGUAUUAAUUAGCUGACUGAUCACAUGUAUAAUUCUACGUGUUCUACUUUUGGUUGCAUAUUGUUGACCACAUGAGAAAAAUUUCUUUAUUUACUUAUUCAGAUGGAGUUUCGCUCUGUCGCCCAGGCUGGAGUGCAGUGGCGCUAUCUCAUCUCACUGCAACCACUGCCUCCCAGGUUCAAGCGAUUCUCCUGCCUCAGCCUCCCGAGUAGCUGGGACUACAGGGGCAUGCCACCAGGCCCAGCUAAUUUUUGUAUUUUUAGUAGAGACGGGGUUUCACCAUGUUGGCCAGGAUGGUCUCAAUCUCUUGACCGCAUGAUCCACCCGCCUCGGCCUACAAAAGUGCUGGGAUUACAGGCGAGAGCCACCACGCCAGGCCAAGAAUUGUUUAUAUUAUUUUCUAUACAGAGAAAACAGUGAUAAUUUAUUCAGUCAUUCCUUUGGCAUGAUUGAAAUUUGUUUUCUUUCUGGCUCACAACUCUUUAAUAAUUAUAAGUAAGUUUUCAGGAUUGUUGUCAAGUACAGGAAAACUUCAGUCAAAUUUCUUUCAUAUAUGAACUGCAAGAGCUAUAAGAUUUCAGGGCAUUGAUAAUUUUCUUGCAUGUAAGUAAUUUUAAAUACUCUUUCAAUUGAUGUUACUCAUUAACCAGCUUGUCACUGGUGUCCUUGUUGUAAUGGUGUAGUGUGAGUUCAAUUUUAUCUCUGUCAAUGUCAGGAUUGUGUAUCAAAUUUGAAAGAAAUUUAAGUAUUUUCUCAAAGAGUUCAUGUGAUUCAGUCCUCUGGGUUAAAUGUGUUAUCAAAAACUAAAAAGCCCAUUCAGUACUUCCCUCUUCCUGUUAAUGAAUUAUUGCUCUUUGUAUUAUCUAAAAAUAUUUCUGUUACAAUUUACUUCUUGAUGUCAAAGUGAUUUCUAUUUGACUUUAUCUCUCAAUUGUUUUUUCAUAUCCUAUCAAAUUUCAUCUGCAUUUUCUCCCAGUUUCUUAUUACAUUAAUUCAUAGAUGACAAAAGAGUUACUCUUCAUAUAUGCCCAUAUUAGGAGUCAUUGAUUUCUG